rnacentral:tmRNA from 1 species
AAACUUGCAAUUCCCGUCUUUUGCACUAUUAUAAGCCUGCCGCGCAAGCGGAGAUAAUGCUGAAUGCCGUUCGGAAUAGGUUUAUGGGACUGGGGGGCGGUACCCCACAUCUCCACCACCGGUUUUCAUUGUCGGCUGCGCCGACUAAGAAAACCGCAUGCCGCGCCGUAGCCCAAGGGGCGAAGGCGGGCUGGUUAUGGAAUCGGGGAUGACAUAUGUUUCGACCUGGACAAUAAAGGUGCGGGGUGCAUUUGGGGCGGCUCCCAUAAAAGGCUGAAUAAAACGAGUGCUAAUGAUAACACUCAAUAUGCGAUGGCUGCCUAAUAAGCAAUAGUCAUCCGGGGGUCCGCCGGAACCUUGCAACAGAAUCCGGCGCU